AUGAUGGGUGAUCCCCCGUGUAAGAGUGAGGUGGAGGAGGACAUUCCAGUCCAUGUGACCACAGAAAAUCCCAGUAUAAUCUCUGAGGGAAACUUCAUAUUAUCACUAAAUUAUAAAGGAGAAGAUGAAGAUAUCGGGCAUGGCUCUUCAGGAGAAAACCUCAUUACCUGUAAUGUCCAUCCAGGACUUCACAGACCAGAUCUGUCAUAUAAUGAUCCUAAUAAUAAGGAACCUUCUCCUGACCAAUCACAGAUUGUUAUCACAAGUACCGGGCCCAAAGAGGCUACAAAUUUUCAGUGUGGGGAAUGUGGAAAACAGUUUACAGACAUCUCAGGUCUAUAUGCACACAGAAGAAGUCACACAGGAGAGGAGCCAUAUUCAUGUUCAACAUUUGGUAAAGGUUUUAUGUAUGAAUCGCAAGUCAUGAAAGAUGAGGGAAUUAACACAGCAGAGCCGUCGUAUUCAUGUUCAGAAUGCGGCAAAUGUUUUACAAAAAAGACAAGUCUUAUUAUACAUCAGAAAAAUCACACAAGGGAGAAAAAAAUUUUAUGUUCCGAAUGUGGGAAAUAUUUUAGAUAUAAAUCAGAUCUUGCUAAACAUCAGAAAAUUCACACAGGAGAGAAGCCGUAUCCAUGUUUAAAAUGUGGGAAAUGUUUUGUAUUUAAAUCACAGCUUACUGAACAUGAGAAAAGGCACAAAGGAGAGAAGCCGCAUUUAUGUUUAAAAUGUGGGAAAGGUUUUUUAUAUAAAUCCCAGCUUGCUGAUCAUGAGAGAAGUCACGAAGUAAAGAUAAAGAAGCCGUAUUUAUGUUCAAAAUGUGGGAAAGGUUUUAUAUAUAAACCACUGCUUGUUGAUCAUGAGAAGAGUCACAUAGGAGAGCAGUAUUCAUGUGCAGAAUGUGGGAAAUGUUUUCUUUUUAAAGGGAGCCUCAAGGUGCAUCAGAUAAGUCACACAGAAGAAAAAACAUUUAUAUGCUCCAAAUGUGGUGA